rnacentral:rRNA from 1 species
GGAAGUAAAAGUCGUAACAAGGUUUCCGUAGGUGAACCUGCGGAAGGAUCAUUACUGAUUUAGCGAACCGAGCGUUAGCGAGGUUUUGCGAUCAACUUGUAUUUAAAACCCACUCUUCAAUGUAUAAAAUUUGUAUUAAUGAUAAAUUAAAAGAUCACUUUCAACAACGGAUCUCUUGGCUCUCGCAUCGAUGAAGAACGUAGCGAAGCGCGAUAAGUAAUGUGAAUUGCAGUAUUCCGUGAAUCAUCGAACCUUUGAACGCAUAUUGCACUUUCUGGUAUUCCGGAAAGUAUGCCUGUUUGAGGGUCAGUUAAAUAAAAAUCGGUGUUGUUGCCGCUUUCCGUGGUGACGCGUCGGAAUUGAGUCGUCUUCGGUUAAGUGACUUAAAAUUUUAUAUGAUUUUCGAACGUAUUUAAAUUUAUUUGAACGUUUGAUAUCGAAUGCUUAUUAGGUUCGGUCAUCCUCAUGACUCGCGCCUAUAAUUUUUCAUUAAAUGACCUCAAAUCAGGUAAGAAUACCCGCUGAACUUAAGCAUAUCAAUAAGCGGAGGA